ACCUAUGGCCAUGCUACCCUGAACACGCCAGAUCCUAUCUGAUUUCGGAAGCUAAACAGGGUCGGGCCUGGUUAGUACUUGCAUGGGAAGAUCAUCGAGGAAGACCAGGUGCUGUAGGUG
ensembl:rRNA 5S_rRNA 5S ribosomal RNA